AUUGAACGCUGGCGGCAGGCCUAACACAUGCAAGUCGAGCGAGCGGCGGACGGGUGAGUAAUGUCUGGGAAACUGCCUGAUGGAGGGGGAUAACUCCUGGAAACGGUAGCUAAUACCGCAUACCAUCAGAUGUGCCCAGAUGGGAUUAGCUAGCAGGGGGGGUAACGGCUCACCUAGGCGACGAUCCCUAGCUGGUCUGAGAGGAUGAGCAGCCACACUGGAACUGGUACGCGGCCCAGAAUCCUACGAGAGGCAGCAGGGGGGAAUAUCGCACAAUGGGCGCAAGCGGGAGUCAGCCAUGACGCGUGAGUGAAGAAGGCCGUCGGGUUGUAAAGCACUGUCAGCGGGGAGGCGUUACCGUAAGAAGAAGCACCGGCUAACUCCGUGCCAGCAGCCGCGGUAAUUC
rnacentral:rRNA from 1 species